rnacentral:rRNA from 1 species
UUAUGGCUCAGGAUGAACGCUGGCGGCGUGCUUAACACAUGCAAGUCGAACGAAGCGAUUUCUUGCUGCAAGAAAUUGGCUAGUGGCGGACGGGUGAGUAACGCGUGGGUAACCUGCCUCAUACAGGGGGAUAACAGUUGGAAACGACUGCUAAAACCGCAUAACCCGCUAGUGUCGCAUGACACGGACGGAAAAUAUUUAUAGGUAUGAGAUGGGCCCGCGUCUGAUUAGCUAGUUGGUAAGGUAAUGGCUUACCAAGGCGACGAUCAGUAGCCGACUUGAGAGAGUGAUCGGCCACAUUGGGACUGAGACACGGCCCAAACUCCUACGGGAGGCAGCAGUGGGGAAUAUUGGACAAUGGGGGAAACCCUGAUCCAGCGAACCGCCGCGUGAGUGAAGAAGUAUUUCGGUAUGUAAAGCUCUAUCAGCAGGGAAGAUAAUGACAGUACCUGACUAAGAAGCCCCGGCUAACUACGUGCCAGCCGCAGC